ACACACGGCGGGUGCUAACGUCCGUCGUGAAGAGGGAAACAACCCAGACCGCCAGCUAAGGUCCCAAAGUCAUGGUUAAGUGGGAAACGAUGUGGGAAGGCCCAGACAGCCAGGAUGUUGGCUUAGAAGCAGCCAUCAUUUAAAGAAAGCGUAAUAGCUCACUGGUCGAGUCGGCCUGCGCGGAAGAUGUAACGGGGCUAAACCAUGCACCGAAGCUGCGGCAGCGACGCUUAUGCGUUGUUGGGUAGGGGAGCGUUCUGUAAGCCUGUGAAGGUGUGCUGUGAGGCAUGCUGGAGGUAUCAGAAGUGCGAAUGCUGACAUAAGUAACGAUAAAGCGGGUGAAAAGCCCGCUCGCCGGAAGACCAAGGGUUCCUGUCCAACGUUAAUCGGGGCAGGGUGAGUCGACCCCUAAGGCGAGGCCGAAAGGCGUAGUCGAUGGGAAACAGGUUAAUAUUCCUGUACUUGGUGUUACUGCGAAGGGGGGACGGAGAAGGCUAUGUUGGCCGGGCGACGGUUGUCCCGGUUUAAGCGUGUAGGCUGGUUUUCCAGGCAAAUCCGGAAAAUCAAGGCUGAGGCGUGAUGACGAGGCACUACGGUGCUGAAGCAACAAAUGCCCUGCUUCCAGGAAAAGCCUCUAAGCAUCAGGUAACAUCAAAUCGUACCCCAAACCGACACAGGUGGUCAGGUAGAGAAUACCAAGGCGCUUGAGAGAACUCGGGUGAAGGAACUAGGCAAAAUGGUGCCGUAACUUCGGGAGAAGGCACGCUGAUAUGUAGGUGAAGUCCCUCGCGGAUGGAGCUGAAAUCAGUCGAAGAUACCAGCUGGCUGCAACUGUUUAUUAAAAACACAGCACUGUGCAAACACGAAAGUGGACGUAUACGGUGUGACGCCUGCCCGGUGCCGGAAGGUUAAUUGAUGGGGUCAGCGCAAGCGAAGCUCUUGAUCGAAGCCCCGGUAAACGGCGGCCGUAACUAUAACGGUCCUAAGGUAGCGAAAUUCCUUGUCGGGUAAGUUCCGACCUGCACGAAUGGCGUAAUGAUGGCCAGGCUGUCUCCACCCGAGACUCAGUGAAAUUGAACUCGCUGUGAAGAUGCAGUGUACCCGCGGCAAGACGGAAAGACCCCGUGAACCUUUACUAUAGCUUGACACUGAACAUUGAGCCUUGAUGUGUAGGAUAGGUGGGAGGCUUAGAAGUGUGGACGCCAGUCUGCAUGGAGCCGACCUUGAAAUACCACCCUUUAAUGUUUGAUGUUCUAACGUUGACCCGUAAUCCGGGUUGCGGACAGUGUCUGGUGGGUAGUUUGACUGGGGCGGUCUCCUCCUAAAGAGUAACGGAGGAGCACGAAGGUUGGCUAAUCCUGGUCGGACAUCAGGAGGUUAGUGCAAUGGCAUAAGCCAGCUUGACUGCGAGCGUGACGGCGCGAGCAGGUGCGAAAGCAGGUCAUAGUGAUCCGGUGGUUCUGAAUGGAAGGGCCAUCGCUCAACGGAUAAAAGGUACUCCGGGGAUAACAGGCUGAUACCGCCCAAGAGUUCAUAUCGACGGCGGUGUUUGGCACCUCGAUGUCGGCUCAUCACAUCCUGGGGCUGAAGUAGGUCCCAAGGGUAUGGCUGUUCGCCAUUUAAAGUGGUACGCGAGCUGGGUUUAGAACGUCGUGAGACAGUUCGGUCCCUAUCUGCCGUGGGCGCUGGAGAACUGAGGGGGGCUGCUCCUAGUACGAGAGGACCGGAGUGGACGCAUCACUGGUGUUCGGGUUGUCAUGCCAAUGGCACUGCCCGGUAGCUAAAUGCGGAAGAGAUAAGUGCUGAAAGCAUCUAAGCACGAAACUUGCC
rnacentral:rRNA from 1 species